UACGGGGGGAGCAAGCGUUGUUCGGAUUUACUGGGCGUAAAGGGCGCGUAGGCGGCCUUCUAAGUCGAACGUGAAAUCCCCGGGCUCAACCCGGGAACUGCGUCCGAGACUGGAAGGCUUGAAUCCGGGAGAGGGAUGUGGAAUUCCAGGUGUAGCGGUGAAAUGCGUAGAUAUCUGGAGGAACAUCGGUGGCGAAGGCGGCAUCCUGGACCGGUAUUGACGCUGAGGCGCGAAAGCCAGGGGAGCAAACGGG
rnacentral:rRNA from 1 species